rnacentral:rRNA from 1 species
UACGUAGGGUGCAAGCGUUGUCCGGAAUUAUUGGGCGUAAAGAGCUCGUAGGCGGUUUGUUGCGUCGGCUGUGAAAUCCCGAGGCUCAACCUCGGGUCUGCAGUCGAUACGAGCAAACUAGAGUGUUGCAGGGGAGACUGGAAUUCCUGGUGUAGCGGUGGAAUGCGCAGAUAUCAGGAGGAACACCAACGGCGAAGGCAGCUCGCUGGGACGGUACUGACGCUGAGGCGCGAAAGCGUGGGGAGCGAACAGG